rnacentral:rRNA from 1 species
GUAACACGUGGGCAACCUACCCUAUAGUUUGGGAUAACUCCGGGAAACCGGGGCUAAUACCGAAUAAUCUCUUUUGCUUCAUGGUAAAAGACUGAAAGACGGUUUCGGCUGUCGCUAUAGGAUGGGCCCGCGGCGCAUUAGCUAGUUGGUGAGGUAACGGCUCACCAAGGCGACGAUGCGUAGCCGACCUGAGAGGGUGAUCGGCCACACUGGGACUGAGACACGGCCCAGACUCCUACGGGAGGCAGCAGUAGGGAAUCUUCCACAAUGGGCGAAAGCCUGAUGGAGCAACGCCGCGUGAGUGAAGAAGGUUUUCGGAUCGUAAAACUCUGUUGUAAGGGAAGAACAAGUACAGUAGUAACUGGCUGUACCUUGACGGUACCUUAUUAGAAAGCCACGGCUAACUACGUGCCAGCAGCCGCGGUAAUACGUAGGUGGCAAGCGUUGUCCGGAAUUAUUGGGCGUAAAGCGCGCGC